rnacentral:rRNA from 1 species
AUUGAACGCUGGCGGCAGGCCUAACACAUGCAAGUCGAGCGAGCGGCGGACGGGUGAGUAAUGUAUGGGGACUGCCCGAUAGAGGGGGAUAACUACUGGAAACGGUGGCUAAUACCGCAUACUAUCGGAUAACCCAUAUUGGAUUAGCUAGUAGGUGGGGUAAAGGCUCACCUAGGCGACGAUCUCUAGCUGGUCUGAGAGGAUGAUCAGCCACAUUGGAACUGAUACACGGCCCAGACUCCUACGGAGGCAGCAGUGGUGAAUAUUGCACAAUGGGCGCAAGCCUGAUGCAGCCAUGCCGAGUGUAUGAAGAAGGCCUUAGGGUUGUAAAGUACUUUCAGCUGGGAGGCGUUACCCGCAGAAGAUGCCCCGGCUAACUCAGUGCCAGCAGCCGCGGUAAUUA